rnacentral:rRNA from 1 species
UAGGGAAUCUUCGGCAAUGGACGAAAGUCUGACCGAGCAACGCCGCGUGAGUGAAGAAGGUUUUCGGAUCGUAAAACUCUGUUGGUAGAGAAGAACGUUGGUGAGAGUGGAAAGCUCAUCAAGUGACGGUAACUACCCAGAAAGGGACGGCUAACUACGUGCCAGCAGCCGCGGUAAUACGUAGGUCCCGAGCGUUGUCCGGAUUUAUUGGGCGUAAA